UUCUCAUCUUCCUGCUCAUUGGAGCUGAAACAGUCCAGGUCACAUGACCUCAGUCUGAACUGUUUUCCAGUCAACAGAACCGUCAGUUCUGGUGAACCAUCUCCUCCUUCAGAGUUCUGGAGUCUCCGGGUUCGACCCGAAGAAAGAACAGAACCAGAACCCAGACCCUUAGUCGAGUUCUUGAAAUAUAACCAGAACUUGUCAGGUUUUAAUGAGGCGAUUCCCUCUCAUUAUUUGGCGUUUGUUCUCCUCUGUGGAUCUCUUUUGGGUCAUUUUCUUCUUCCUCCCCCUCUAGUCAGCCAGCGCAGGCUCUUCCUCCUCCUCUUCAUCAUUUGUCGGCAGCAUGUCUGAGCGCCGGUUCUGUCAGGAGGACGACCGCUCCUCUCUCCUGUCCCGGCUCGGUUCAGAUUCUCCUCGUCCUCGGAUGAAGUUCGGAGGAAUGUUCUGCAACGUGGAAGGAGCUUUCGAGAACAAAACUCUGAACUUCGAGUCCUUCAGUCCUCGGCUGCAGCGGCGCGGCGCCGGUCCGACCCAAACGGGAGGCCAACAUGGAGUAUGGACCGCAGUCCUUCCAUCUGGACACACCCGGGAAAACUACGGCAAGAAAGAGGGAGACUGUCUCCUCAUCAAAGGAGGAAAGGUUGUCAAUGACGAUCAGUCGUUCUAUGCCGACGUCUACAUUGAGGACGGGACUAUCAGGCAGAUAGGUGAGAACCUGAUCAUCCCAUCUGGUGUGAAGACGCUGGAUGCGUACGGACAGCUGGUGAUCCCUGGAGGCGUAGAUGCCAACACCAACCUCCAGGCUCCACAGAAAGGCCUGAUCCCGUGUGACGACUUCUACCAGGGAACCAAAGCCGCCCUGUCUGGAGGAACCACCACCAUCAUCGACCAUGUGUUGGUGGAGCCGGGGACUAGCUUGCUGUCAGCGUUUGAUCUGUGGAAGGAGACGGCAGAGCAGAGGGCGUGCUGUGACUUUUCCUUCCAUCUGGAUGUCACCAGGUGGCACGACGGCCUCUACGAGGAGCUGGAGACGCUCGUCAAAGAUAAAGGGGUGAAUUCCUUCCUCUUCUUUAUGGCUUACAAAGACCGGUACCAGAGCUCCGACUCUCAGCUUUAUGAGGCGUUUGGGAUCCUCCGGGAUCUUGGAGCAAUUGCUCAGGUCCAUGCUGAGAACGGUGACAUCAUCGAUGAGGAGCAGAAAAAACUUCUCAGUGUGGGUAUUACUGGACCUGAAGGCCAUGUUUUAUCUCACCCUGAAGAGGUGGAGACUGAGGCAGUCUAUCGGGCCAUCACCAUCGCCAAGCAGGCCAACUGCCCGCUCUAUGUUACCAAGGUGAUGAGCAAGUCUGCUGGUGAUGUUAUCGCCAAAGCCAGGAAAAAAGGUGUGGUUGUGUAUGGGGAGCCAAUCACAGCUGGCCUGGCCACUGACGGCUCUCACUACUGGGCCAAAGAUUGGACCACAGCGGCUGCCUUUGUGAUGAGCCCUCCCCUGAACCCGGAUCCGUCCACGCCACAGUAUCUGACCUCUCUGCUAGCAUGCGGCGAUCUCCAGGUGACCUCCAGCGCUCAGGCCAGCUUCUCCACAGCUCAGAAGGCUGUCGGUAAAGACGACUUCACGCUGAUCCCAGAGGGAACUAGCGGCAUUGAAGAGAGGCUGUCUGUGAUCUGGGACAGAGCUGUGUCCACAGGAAAGAUGGACGAGAAUGAGUUUGUUGCAGUGACGAGCACCAACGCUGCCAAGGUCUUCAACAUGUACCCACGCAAAGGAAGGAUUACUGUUGGAUCUGAUGCUGAUAUUGUAAUUUGGAACCCAAAAGAGACUCUAACCGUUUCUGCCACAACUCACAACCUGACAUUGGAGGUAAACAUCUUGGAGGGUUUGGAGUUUCGAGGCGUUCCCACAGUAGUGAUCAGCGSCGGUCGGGUUGUUCUGGAGGAGGGACAGCUCAACGUGRCCGAAGGUUCUGGACGCUUUAUAGCAAGAAAGGCUUUUCCUGACACCGUCUACAAGCGGAUCAGAGCACGCAGCAAGAUGGCUGAGGCCCGUGGCGUUCCCCGCGGUAACUAUGAUGGUCCAGUCCAUGAUGUCAUCAGUGUGACCAAGUCAGUCCCACCAACUCCAACCACCAGGGGUCCUACGGGGACCAAAACCCCAACAGGCCCCCGAAACCUCCACCAAUCAGGAUUCACCCUGGCAGGGGCUCAGAUUGACGAUCACAUACCCCGUCGCUCUGCUCAAAGGAUUGUGGCGCCACCUGGAGGACGUUCCAACAUUACAUCUCUAUCUUAAUCUGUUCAUUUUCCAGCCAAGUGUUGAAGAACGUCUGUUAGUCUAUGAUCCAGCUAAGUCCACUGUGGACCCCCUGCUGUAGGGUGUUCAGUGAACACCUGUAGGGUUCAGUGGACUCUACAAGUGAAACUGUCUGACCCUGAUAGCCCACAUAUGUAGUUUAACUCCAGAACUCCCCAGAACCUUCUGGGUCUCCUGAGCUCAAACUGACAACUUUAGUCCUGAAUGUAGCUGUCCCACCCAGAACCUCACCAUAGUGCUUAGUCAACCCCAUGUUACCUGGUACUAGACAGAACCGGUUCUGACCCGACAGUUCUGAAACCCUCCACAUCAGCAGCGACAUAACCGGCCUGACCAGAAAGAUGUCUUUAUCUAACUUAGUGACAUCACAGUGAUGUGAGUAAUGCUGACAUAAAACACCAAUCAAGCAGAACAUUAUGACCACAUUGGCCUCUCAAAGUACUUCCAGCCAUCUGUGAGAUGAAUGAUGCCAGCCAGCCCGCCUGUGGUUGACCCCUGACCCACCAGAGAGGUGGUCACAGCAUUGCAUCAGCUGACUUGAAGGGGGAGGCUGGCCUCCCAGGUCAAAGCUAGCCUCGUGGUCGGAACCAGGCUCGGUUCUGCUGCCAUUCUAAUCAGUCUGGACCUCAGUUCAACUUCACUGUCCAAACACAAGCCUGYUUAACCCCAAGUCAGAGUUCUAGAUGGAGGGUAUUUUGGGUUCUGUGGCAGUACCACCCCACAGGUAGGACCCUAAGACCAUCUUCUGGUCAUGUGACCAACAGCUCAUGGUUUCAGUGUAACCAGAUGAGCCUUUGUAGCAUUAAUUGGAUAACUUUAGAUGAUUGCAGAACCACAGUCCAUCUKCAGAUGUUUUGGCUGUUUGGGUCAUGUAGCAACUUCAGAAUCUGGUUCUGUAGACCAGAGUUGUUUUCUCUGACUGUUGAUACUGCUAGCACAGCUCUAGCUGAUCAUUAGCAUCCACGCUGAAGGCCUGGAAUCAAAUACUGAGGGCUUUUAAUUUGAAAGGGAAAAGAGGGAAAAAGGUCACAGAGUUGUUGACAUCAUGUGACUCUGCAGCAUGUGAUGUCACAUUCACAUUUUUAAUGUAGCGUUUUCUAAGACUUUGUCUUAAUUUUGUAUUUUUACUGUUUUUUGUACCUUUGCUGUGAUUGGUUCAAUGUUUGGGUCAAGGGUUACAGUUGUCUUCUGAAUUUGAUCCGUAUUUGAUCUCAACGUCUGGAUCCACUUUUACGAGACCCACCAACCCAGACCCGACCCAGUCCAUGUUGUACUCAGYUUUAUGCUAACUGUUUUAGCCUAAAACUGAGUACAACCUGUUUUAUGCUAACUGAAAUCAUCAGUCUGUAAAACAACCAUUGACUAGACAUUAAGGUGGGCGGAGCCACCAGCUUCACCUUGCUGUUCAAAUGCCCAACCUGAUCAAUGGCACCUCAAUGACCACACCCUCCUAUUUUCACUCAAUAGGUAGCAUCAGUGUUGGCAUCACUGCUCCCAUGUUGGACUCCAGCUGUUACUAUGGCUGUGUUUCCAACGCCUCACACUCCCCCUGUCCUGCAUGUUUAAGUCAGGGGUGUCAAACUCCAGUCCUGAAGGGSCGCUGUCCUGCAGUUUUUAGAU